rnacentral:rRNA from 1 species
AUUGAACGCUGGCGGCAGGCCUAACACAUGCAAGUCGAGCGAGCGGCGGACGGGUGAGUAAUGUCUGGGAAACUGCCUGCUGGAGGGGGCUCACUACUGGAAACGGUAGCUAAUACCGCAUCCCAUCAGAUGUGCCCAGAUGGGAUUAGCUAGUCGGUGGGGUAACGGCUCACCUAUGCGACGAUCCCUAGCGGGUCUGAGAGGAUGACCAGCAACACUGGAAAUGAGACACGGGCCAGACGCCUACGGGAGGCAGCAGUGGGGAAUAUUGCACAAUGGGCGCAAGCCUGAGGCAGCCAGGCGGCGUGUGUGAAGAAGGCCUGCGGGUUGUAAAGCACUUUCAGCGGGGAGGCGUUACCCGCAGAAGAAGCACCGGCUAACUCCGUGCCAGCAGCCGCGGUAAUUC